CUAAGAAAGAGUGAAGACUUUUCCAUUUUGCCACUCUUUAUCAGCUAAAGACGGCAUGACACGGCGACUAUCGCCUUCUCAGAUGUCCGGAGCCGGACUUGGGAUCGCCGCAAUAUCAUACGUGGUGGUCGAUUACAUGAGAUACGUGUCACCGUCGGCGCAUUCUCGUCUUCAGCCUGUUCUUUGGUCGGUCCUGGUUCUUGCCGUCGUUACGCGUGUCCCUUUCUACAGGCACUGGCCUAAAGAGCUACGAGCAGCGAUCCCUUUCCUCGCUUCGAUCGUCUUUCUGCUUGGAGCUCUUCUCUUCGAAGCUCUUUGUGUUCGCUCUGUCACCGCCGUUCUUGGCUGAGAUUGGCACCGGGAUACGUCUGUAACGACCCAAAUCUUGUCCCGAAAAAAAUUAGCCCAAGACUUUUGGGGAUGGCAAAGCCCUGCCGGAAAGUCACCGGAAUAGCCACAAAUAGCCACCAUGAAAGAGAAGCCAUCCUACCAUCCGAAAAGAGAGAGUAGAGCUCUGCAGACACGUUUUAGGGGAAUAGAAGAACGAUCAAUCAAAUAUAAGUAUUUCGAAGCUAUAUUUUUAGUUUAUGUUCUACACUCAUAGAUCUAUGUGUAUUAGAAAGCAGAUAGUCAUUUGGAAUUUUUAUCUAAGAGUUAUGGUUGUUUC